rnacentral:rRNA from 1 species
GACGAACGCUGGCGGCGUGCUUAACACAUGCAAGUCGAACGGAAAGGCCCUGCUUUUGUGGGGUGCUCGAGUGGCGAACGGGUGAGUAACACGUGAGUAACCUGCCCUUGACUUUGGGAUAACUUCAGGAAACUGGGGCUAAUACCGGAUAGGAGCUCCUGCUGCAUGGUGGGGGUUGGAAAGUUUCGGCGGUUGGGGAUGGACUCGCGGCUUAUCAGCUUGUUGGUGGGGUAGUGGCUUACCAAGGCUUUGACGGGUAGCCGGCCUGAGAGGGUGACCGGCCACAUUGGGACUGAGAUACGGCCCAGACUCCUAUGGGAGGCAGCAGUGGGGAAUAUUGCACAAUGGGCGGAAGCCUGAUGCAGCGACGCCGCGUGCGGGAUGACGGCCUUCGGGUUGUAAACCGCUUUCGCCUGUGACGAAGCGUGAGUGACGGUAAUGGGUAAAGAAGCACCGGCUAACUACGUG